ACUGGGAUAGCUCAGUUGGCAAAGCAUGGUGCUCUUAAUCUCAGGGUUGUGGGUUAGAGUCCCACAUUGAGCA